rnacentral:lncRNA from 1 species
UGCCUUUCAGAGGUGAUUCUGUCCUUCCACUGUGGGACCUGAGGAUCGAGAGCCCAGCUUUUCUGGCAGGCUCUCUCCUCAGCUGAGCCAUCUCACCAGUACAUGAUGCACUUUUUCCAAAGUAAACUGAAGCCCUUCUUUAUUUCAGAAAUAUUUUCUCAGCUUAGGUCAUUAGGUAGCUAUUGUGUUCCUUGUUCCAUUCUGACCAUCCAGUUGCAGAAUAGGUGGAACUCCCCAGCCUGCCACCCGUUGCUCAUCUCCACCCUAAGUGUGGCAGAUAUCAGAAAGCUCCAGAAAAGAAAAUUACUUCUGGACGAUAGAUCUCUGUUUACAGUGAGUAAGGAGGCACAGGACAGUCCUACGAGGAAGGUACAAUUGUUCUUAACCAAGGGAGAGGCCUGCAGGCUGCAAAAUGAGGCUCAACUGAGUCCCACAACUCUGCCAUAGGUGUAGUUCCAAAUCAUGCACUCUGUGGAGUAGGAUCACAUAGCAAUGUCUUCAACCCCAUUCUCUCAGCAAUGGCAUGCUCAGUACCACCCUGGCAUCUCAAGAUCUCACGCAUCAUCUGUGUCUCCAAGACAUCAUUCGUUCACAUCAUUUGUUCUACAUUUCUGCUUCUAUGGCAUGGUCAGUCUCACUUGGGUUUCAGAACAUGUGGCUUUUCUUUCUGCUUUGUUCUCUUAAGCAUGUAACAGAUGCUGUUUCCACCGACGCUGAUUCACAGAGAAACAAACAUUUGGUUACAGCAGACUAUUAUGAACAUUUAGGGGGAUAAGAUCAUAAAAAAAUAACCAAGCUCCCCCCCCAAAAAAUCUCACAAUUAUUAUAAAAUCCUCAUAUUUGUCACCUAUCCAACAUUGUAAUGAAAUCCCGAGGUUAUGAUGAAAUUAAAGAAAAGAGAUGUACGU